rnacentral:rRNA from 1 species
GACGGGGGGGCAAGUGUUCUUCGGAAUGACUGGGCGUAAAGGGCACGUAGGCGUGAAUCGGGUUGAAAGUGAAAGUCGCCAAAAAGUGGCGGAAAUGCUCUCGAAACCAAUUACACUUGAGUGAGACAGAGGAGAGUGGAAUUCGUGUGUAGGGGUGAAAUCGUAGAUCUACGAAGGAACGCCAAAAGCGAAGGACAGCUCUC